rnacentral:rRNA from 1 species
CCCUUAGAUGUCCGGGGCUGCACGCGCGCUACACUGUAGAGAGCAGCGUGCUUUAAAACCUUUCCUGAAAAGGAUGGGUAACCCCAGCAAAAUUCUACGUGCUUGGGAUAGAGAUUUGCAAUUUUCUCUCUUGAACGAGGAAUUCCCAGUAAGUGCGAGUCAUCAGCUCGCGUUGAUUACGUCCCUGCCCUUUGUACACACCGCCCGUCGCUACUACCGAUUGGGAAAAUUUUAGAGAGUCCUGGACUGAUGAUUGUUCGGCUUCACGGCCUUACUUUCGUCGGGAAAGAAUUCGAUAAUAUUUUUCUAGAGGAAGUAAAAGUCGUAACA